AGUGAACGCUGGCGGUAGGCCUAACACAUGCAAGUCGAACGGCAGCACAGUAAGAGCUUGCUCUUACGGGUGGCGAGUGGCGGACGGGUGAGGAAUACAUCGGAAUCUACUUUUUCGUGGGGGAUAACGUAGGGAAACUUACGCUAAUACCGCAUACGACCUACGGGUGAAAGCAGGGGAUCUUCGGACCUUGCGCGAUUGAAUGAGCCGAUGUCGGAUUAGCUAGUUGGCGGGGUAAAGGCCCACCAAGGCGACGAUCCGUAGCUGGUCUGAGUGGAUGAGCAGCAACACUGGAACUGAGACACGGUCCAGACUCCUACGGGAGGCAGCAGUGGGGAAUAUUGGACAAUGGGCGCAAGCCUGAUCCAGCCAUACCGCGUGGGUGAAGAAGGCCUUCGGGUUGUAAAGCCCUUUUGUUGGGAAAGAAAAGCAGCAGGUUAAUACCCCGCUGUUCUGACGGUACCCAAAGAAUAAGCACCGGCUAACUUCGUG
rnacentral:rRNA from 1 species